rnacentral:rRNA from 1 species
ACGGGUGAGUAAUGUCUGGGAAACUGCCUGAUGGAGGGGGAUAACUACUGGAAACGGUAGCUAAUACCGCAUAACGUCGCAAGACCAAAGAGGGGGACCUUCGGGCCUCUUGCCAUCAGAUGUGCCCAGAUGGGAUUAGCUAGUAGGUGAGGUAACGGCUCACCUAGGCGACGAUCCCUAGCUGGUCUGAGAGGAUGACCAGCCACACUGGAACUGAGACACGGUCCAGACUCCUACGGGAGGCAGCAGUGGGGAAUAUUGCACAAUGGGCGCAAGCCUGAUGCAGCCAUGCCGCGUGUAUGAAGAAGGCCUUCGGGUUGUAAAGUACUUUCAGCGAGGAGGAAGGCAUCGUACCUAAUACGUGCGGUGAUUGACGUUACUCGCAGAAGAAGCACCGGCUAACUCCGUGCCAGCAGCCGCGGUAAUACGGAGGGUGCAAGCGUUAAUCGGAAUUACUGGGCGUAAAGCGCACGCAGGCGGUUCGUCAAGUCGGAUGUGAAAUCCCCGGGCUCAACCUGGGAACUGCAUUCGAAACGGGCAAGCUAGAGUCUUGUAGAGGGGGGUAGAAUUCCAGGUGUAGC